rnacentral:tRNA from 1 species
CCUCUCAUGGCGUAGUGGUAACGCGCCCCAAAUAGAGAUCGGGGAGUCGUGAGUUCGAUUCUCACUGAGAAGA